CCUACGGGAGGCUGCAGUGGGGAAUAUUGCACAAUGGGGGAAACCCUGAUGCAGCAACGCCGCGUGAAGGAAGACGGUUUUCGGAUUGUAAACUUCUGUUCUUAGUGAAGAAUAAUGACGGUAGCUAAGGAGCAAGCCACGGCUAACUACGUGCCAGCAGCCGCGGUAAUACGUAGGUGGCAAGCGUUGUCCGGAAUUACUGGGUGUAAAGGGAGCGCAGGCGGGAAGCCAAGUCAGCUGUGAAAACUACGGGCUUAACUUGUAGACUGCAGUUGAAACUGGUUUUCUUGAGUGAAGUAGAGGUUGGCGGAAUUCCGAGUGUAGCGGUGAAAUGCGUAGAUAUUAGGAAGAACACCAGUGGCGAAGGCGGCUUUCUGGACUGAAACUGACGCUGAGGCACGAAAGCGUGGGGAGCGAACAGGAUUAGAUACCCUGGUAGUC
rnacentral:rRNA from 1 species